rnacentral:rRNA from 1 species
UACGGAGGGGGCUAGCGUUGUUCGGAAUUACUGGGCGUAAAGCGCACGUAGGCGGCUUUGUAAGUUAGAGGUGAAAGCCCGGAGCUCAACUCCGGAAUUGCCUUUAAGACUGCAUCGCUUGAAUCCAGGAGAGGUGAGUGGAAUUCCGAGUGUAGGGGUGAAAUUCGUAGAUAUUCGGAAGAACACCAGUGGCGAAGGCGGCCUGCUGGGCUAUGGCUGACACUGAGGCGCGACAGCGUGGGGAGCAAACAGG